ensembl:lncRNA
AAACACCUUCUCAUCUCAUUAGUGUUUUUGUCCUCACCUUACUAAAUUAUUAUUAUUAUUAUUUUUGCUUGAGCGUUUAUCUUUGAUACAGUUUCUCAGGAACUUUAAUAGUGAUUCUCAUUUGUUUCUGAAACUUAAAAUAUAUAUAUUUUUCCUCCUUAUAACCUACUCAAGUUAUUUUUCAAGUGUUGGCUGUAGAGUUUCUCCAAAUACAAUUAAUGGUUGAUAAAAUCUAAAUUGGGAGGGCGCAUUGUGGCUUAGUGCUUAGCAUGUUUAACUCACACCUCCGGGGUCGGAGGCUCGAUUACUGCCUCCGCACUCUGUGCCCAAAGUUUGCAUGUUCUCCCUAUUCUCUGGGGGUAGCACUCCAAUUUAUUCCCCCUGUCCAAAGACAUGCACUGUACGCUGACUGGCAUUUCCAAAUUGUCUGUAGUGUAUGAAUGGGUGUGUGAUUUUGCCCUGCGAUGGGUUGGCACCCCGUCCAGGGUGUCCCCCUUGUGCCCUGAGUUCCCUGGGACAGACUUCCUCGGGACCUUGUGUAAGAUAAGCGGUAUGGAAAAUGGAUGGAUGGAUGGAAAAUCUGAAUUGUAACUAAAUCUGAGGGUUUAGCAUACCUUAAUACUCUUCAUACCUGUAUUAUUAAAAGUAAAAUAAUGCUCUUAGCACCUUUUGUACUUCACUUCAAGUAUAUUUCAGUAGUUAUAAUUGGAUAUAAAAAGUAAGCUAGUGUUAAUCUGUCCAAGUACUUACAGUGCUGUGAAAAAGUAUUUUGAUUUCUUCUGUUUUUGUGUAUAUCUCAUACUAAAUAGUUUUAGAUCUUCAAACAAAAUACAACAUAAAACAAAGGCAACCUGAGUAAACACACAAUACUGUUUUUUUAUUUUAUUGAUGCAAAAAACUUAUCCAACACCUAUCACCAAUGUGAAAAAAUAAUUGCUCCCUUAAACUUAUUAAACCAGAAAAUCUGAUUGUGCCACCUUUAGCAGCGAUAACUGCCACCAAACGCUUCCAAAAACUGGAGCUCAGUCUUCCACUUACUUCUAGGACUAGGAUUUACUCCUAUGCUUUGGAUGAUUGUCUUGCUGCAGAAUCCAGUUGCACUUGAGUUUCAACUUACGGACUGAAAACCAGACAUUCUCCUUUAGGAUUUUCUGGUAGAGAGCAGAAUUCAUGUUUCCCUCAAUUAUUGCAAGUUUUCUGCUCUCGACUCAACAAUCCACAGGACAUUCUCCCAAAAGGUUUGAGGAUCAUCAAGGUGUGUUCUGGCAAAAUUUAGACGAGCCUAAAUGUUCUUCUGGGUUAAAAGUGGUUUAUACCCCAAUAUCUGAACCCCAUUAUGAAUGCAGUUUAAUAGAUUUGGGGAAUUAGUAACUACGGGGGCAAAUACAUUUUCACACAGCCCUAGUUGGUAUUGGAUAACUUUUUUGCUUCAGUAAAUAACAUUAUCAUUUAAAAAACUGUAUUGUGUGUUUACUCAGGUUCCCUUCGUUUAGAUUUUGUUUUCAUUUCUGAAACAAUUUCGUAUGAUAUAUACACAAAAACAAAAGAAAUCAGGAUGGGGCGAAUACUUUUUCACAGCACUGUAUAUACACAGUAGGGUCCAAAAAUCUGAGACCACGUUGAAAAUCUGAGAUUUAAAAUGGGAAAUAAAC